UUGGAGGGCAAGUCUGGUGCCAGCAGCCGCGGUAAUUCCAGCUCCAAUAGCGUAUAUUAAAGUUGUUGCAGUUAAAAAGCUCGUAGUUGAAUUUCGGGGUUAGUAGGUUGGUCAUGCCUCUGGUAUGUACUGGUCUCACUGAUUCCUCCUUCCUGAUGAGCCGUAAUGCCAUUAAUUUGGUGUUGCGGGGAAUUUGGACUAUUACUUUGAAAAAAUUAGAGUGUUUAAAGCAAGCUAACGCUUGAAUACAUUAGCAUGGAAUAAUGAAAUAGGACGUUCGAUCCUAUUUUGUUGGUUUCUAGGAUUGACGUAAUGAUUAAUAGGGAUAGUUGGGGGCAUUAGUAUUCAAUUGUCAGAGGUGAAAUUCUUGGAUUUAUUGAAGACUAACUACUGCGAAAGCAUUUGCCAAGGAUGUUUUCAUUAAUCAAGAACGAAAGUUAGGGGAUCGAAGACGAUCAGAUACCGUCGUAGUCUUAACCAUAAACUAUGCCGACUAGGGAUCGGAUGAUGUUAAUUUUUUAAUGACUCAUUCGGCGCCUUACGGGAAAC
rnacentral:rRNA from 1 species